GAGAAAGCCCCCAAAUCGCCUGUCAAGCAGGGUGUUGCGUUCAGGUGCUCGUAAAGUACACCACUGGUGUAUUUCUACCACGACAGUGUUUCAGGUCAAAAGAAUCAAACGCAGUUGAACUCUGUAACAUAGACACAAUCCUUUGAGUACUUUUCUCUCAACGUACUGUACUUGGUCUGAGCGUCAGUGGAAGGAAACCUUGUGUGACAUUUAGCCCACAGUGAAAGUUUACUAUUAGCGUUAACAAAGUAGUCGUAUUACCGAGGACCGUUCAAAUGCAUCAUAUGCAACCUGUGAGUCCCAAGCAUUCACCAAUGCACCAUACCUUACUGAACUCUGAUUCGUCCUGCCAGGGUGAUCAGUACCAAGCUCAGCCUGUGGUCAGAGAUGUGAUUCUGCAUUCCGGGCCUGUCAGAAUAUCGGUAGUAAAGACUGGUACUCGUUUGAAUUUAACGGCACUUAUGAGGACAUAAAUGCUGUUUUUCCCAAAUGUCGGUUGCUGCCGCUGAUCUUUACACUUCUGAUACAAAGCGUCAACUUCCAGAUCCGACGCUCCUGUCCACUGUCUGUCCUCUACGACUUCAAUGCCACACUGGGAAGGAAGUCCGAGCUUUGACCUCCAGCCCCUCUCUCGAUAGGCCGACGUAGUCUUCCUUCAACACUCUCCUCUUCAUCUUCCUUUCUUCCUCGCCCUCCUCCUCCUGCACACUCGCAUGCUCAUUCAGGGGCAGGGGGGCGUGUCUUUCUCUUUGGGCAGGUCUCAUUCCAGGCGCAAGACUGGGUGCAAUACCUGGGCGGGGCUUCUGACCUGACCACGGGUCACGAUUUGUGGCGGCCCUCAACGCGAUUAAUGGUGCAAAAGAAAGAGGCUUUUCAAAGUCCGGCCUCUGGUGCCGACACGGUCUUAUCAUUUAUUUAUCUAGCCCAGACAUCAGUAACGUCCCAGUUACCUCAAAUGCACCAUGUAUCUGUCAGCGGCUCAUGUCAUGUUGGAGAAAGUGGAAGAACAAGCUCAUAUCAACAAUGAACUGGUCAUGACAUGAACGCAGCAUCAGAGUCCUGCCACCUGCCCAAGGAGCCCCGGGCAAACCCAGAUAGAUCUACCUGACUGAGAAGAAGCAGGUUGUUUAACUGCCUUGGUACUGAGUGAUUCGUUACACUGGACUCAGUGUCACACUGCACACACUAUAAACUAUGACCAGCACUUGUAAUGAAGCAAUGACACAGCAUUCUACUACUACUGUAUAAAUAUGAAUAAAUAAAUAAAGGUCGUUUUGCCUGUAAUGAUAUUAAUGAAAC
ensembl:lncRNA